CAGAAAACUGUAAUAAAAACCCAGCUGACCUCUGCCAGCCUGGCUCCAAUCAUGGACUGCACCUUCCUCCUAUAUUUCCUCUUCUUUCUGGCAACAGUCUCACUGGACUGCAAGCUCCGCCUCCCAGGUUCACGCCAUUCUCCUGCCUCAGCCUCCCGAGUAGCUGGGACUACAGGCAUCCACCACCACACCCAGCUAAUUUUUUGUAUUUUUAGUAGCGACGGGGUUUCACCGUGUUAGCCAGGAUGGUCUCAAUCUCCCGACCUCAUGAUCUGCCCGCCUCCCAAAGUGCUGGGAUUACAGGUGUGAGCCACUGUGCCCGGCUGAAUCAAAAAUGUUUUAAAGAUUUUCAGGCCCUAAAUUUGAAAUAAAAUAAAUGAACUCACUUUCACUUCAUUUUUCAAAUGUUAGUCCUUAGUAAUCUAAGGACUAAACAAAAAUGCUCAAAAACAAAACAGUUUGUGUUAUUUCAUGUUCUUGUCUGGAAUUCUGUUGCAUACGCAGAGAUGAAAACCCCCAAAGUGGAACCUAAGCUCAGCAGCCUUAGCAGUAUUUUGCAAGAAAUGGGGGAUUUCAAACACCACUUGAGAUCUUCGUUCCCAGAGGGAAAGAACCCCUCAUAACAGUGCGUCAUGCUGCUCUAAGUCGCCCUUGUUGGGUGAAGCUGCCACUCUGAUAUGCAAUUCCAGCCCAAUUCAGCUGCUUUCUGGAAGGAUUAUUGUCCAUAGAUACAGCUGGAGAUGAAGAUGGAGCUGAAAUGAAGACCCACUUUGUUUUUCUGGGUCAUUUUCUGUGUCAGAGAAACUGGUCUUAACAUAUUUUGCACUAGCAAUAUAAUAGGAGACACUCAAUUCACAAUCAACUCAGGAGAAAACAUCCCCCCUCUCUUGGAGUUGCAAAUCCUUCGCCCAAAUGCAGACAUGUAAAUAACUAGAGUAACUAGAGUCAAACUCAGAGCCUCAAGGGAGGGAAUUCAUAAACACUGUGCAAAGUGGUUUAUAAAUGUCAUGUUAUUAUUCCUUAAAAUGGGUUAGGCAGGUGUUUAUCCAUGCUUUUUUACAGAACAAAAUGAUUUUGCAUUCUCAAGUCCUUCUCCUGUAGACUGGAAAUGGUUACAGGCUGUCUCCAAAGAAGAAAAUGAAUGCAUAAGAGUGCAUCGCAUGUCAGAGCUGGAAGGGGCCUCAGCGUUCAGCUUGCCCAGCCGGCUCAUUGUGCUGAGGCCAGGAGAGCUGAAGUGACUUGCCUCGGGUCACAUUGUGGACGCAUUACUAGAUGCACUCAGCCUGAAACCCAGCGACCUGCUCUCAAUCCAGGAUGAUUUUUGUAACACCCCAGGGGAAGGAAUGUUAAUUCAGGCAAGCAAGUGACAGGGUGUCAUGUAGCCACCUGGAAUGCUAAAUCUAAGUCAAUAAUGCCACUAUAUUUUGAAAAUGUAAAUAUAGAGGUUAGUACACAAACAAUACAGAUUGAUCUUUUAAAGAAAAUAAAAAUAUAGAUAAGAAAAAUAAUGAAUGGAAAAUGAAAUAAUCAUCUUACCACCCGGAGAGGGUCACUAAUUGAACCUUGGUAUCUGCAUCUCUGAAUGUUUCUAUCCUUACCUGUGCUUAUAAAUGGAUUCUUACACACCUGAGACCACACAAUACACACUAUUUAAUAACCAGCUUUGCAGCAUAUUUCGAGCCUCUUUUCAAGUGGCUGUAUCUUCAUCUAUGUUAUUUUUUUGUGACUGAGCAGCAUUCCAUAGCAUGAUUGCUCCAUGAUUUAUUAAGCCAGAUCCCUAAUGUGAAACCUCCAUGUUCUUUUGACUUUUCACCACUAGAAGCAACAGGGACAUGGUGUGAUCACUAAAUGGGCUCAGCCUCUUUCCCAUUGUGCUUCCUUAGAGCUAUAUCAACAUGGACUUUUCUAACCUCUCUGAGCCAUUUUUUCAGCUAGCAAUCAUGCCUCCCUCACAGGGUCAUUUGGUAUCUUAAGGCAGGGAACUUAGGAAGUGCUCAACAUAGGUUAGUUUCUUUAGUUAUUACUUAGUUAUAUAUUUUGUUAUUAUUAACAACUCAUCCACAAAAAAUCUGUAUUGCUAAAUUUUAGGGUACAUCCUUAUUUCCUAGGAAUGUCUUAGAAAUUGUAUUAUUAAAUCAUAAACUAUGUAUGCAUUUUUCACAUUAAUUGCUAAGUUGCCCCCUUAAAACACUGUGCCAAGUCAUUUUCCCAUGAAAAGAAACAAGAGGGCUCAUUUCCUCACACAUUCUGCACACUGGCAUUAUAAUUUUUUUUAUGAU
rnacentral:lncRNA from 10 species